rnacentral:snRNA from 1 species
AACCCGCGAUACACCGCGGAGACA